rnacentral:rRNA from 1 species
GUAGGGAAUAUUGGGCAAUGGUCGGAAGACUGACCCAGCCAUGCCGCGUGCAGGAAGACGGCCCUCUGGGUUGUAAACUGCUUUUAUCUGGGAAGAAAAAGGCCAUGCGUGGCAAAUUGCCGGUACCAGAUGAAUAAGCACCGGCUAACUCCGUGCCAGCAGCCGCGGUAAUACGGAGGGUGCGAGCGUUGUCCGGAUUUAUUGGGUUUAAAGGGUGCGUAGGCGGCUGAUUAAGUCAGCGGUGAAAGACUUCGGCUUAACCGGAGCAGUGCCGUUGAUACUGGUUGGCUUGAGUGUCGGAGGGGUACAUGGAAUUGAUGGUGUAGCGGUGAAAUGCAUAGAUACCAUCAGGAACACCGAUAGCGAAGGCAUUGUACUGGCCGACAACUGACGCUGAUGCACGAAAGUGUGGGGAUCGAACAGGAUUAGAUACCCGAGUAGUC